GGAACCAAAAAGGCAUCAUAGAAGCAAAGACAGGAGAAGAUUUCAUGAAGAACAAAGAGUACAUCAAGAAGAACCAGGAGGCUAUGGUGUUUGCAGCUUCUGGAGGGAGGGGCUGUUGUGGUUAGCCAGCACAGCUAACCCUGACUCUCCUGGCUUUCCCUCCCAGCCUGGUGCAGUGAGCAGGAUGUCAUAGUCAGCGGGGCUGAGGGGGAGCUGCACUUCCCAGAAAGCCUCCACCUAUAUUAUGAGAGCAAGCAACGGUGUGUCUGGACCCUGCUGGUACCAGAGGGAAUGCAUGUGUUGCUCAGUUUUUCCCACCUAGAUGUUGAGUCUUGUCACCAC
rnacentral:sRNA from 1 species